AACGAACGCUGGCGGCAUGCCUAACACAUGCAAGUCGAACGAGACCUUCGGGUCUAGUGGCGCACGGGUGCGUAACGCGUGGGAACCUGCCCUUAGGUUCGGAAUAACUCCCCGAAAGGGGUGCUAAUACCGGAUAAUGUCUUCGGACCAAAGAUUUAUCGCCUUUGGAUGGGCCCGCGUUGGAUUAGCUAGUUGGUAGGGUAAAAGCCUACCAAGGCGACGAUCCAUAGCUGGGCUGAGAGGAUGAUCAGCCACACUGGGACUGGGACACGGCCCAGACUCCUACGGGAGGCAGCAGUGGGGAAUAUUGGACAAUGGGCGAAAGCCUGAUCCAGCAAUGCCGCGUGAGUGAUGAAGGCCUUAGGGUUGUAAAGCUCUUUUACCCGGGAUUAUAAUGACAGUACCGGGAGAAUAAGCUCCGGCUAACUCCGUG
rnacentral:rRNA from 1 species